rnacentral:lncRNA from 1 species
CAUGGCCUGGGCAAUAGCUUGCUUCUGCUCAUCCUUGAGGUUGGCCUCCGUCACGGGGAUGACGUUUUCUUGAUCGAGGUCGGAGAUCGACAUGUUGAUCUUGAUCUUGAAUCUUGUCCCACCGGGCGUGCCAAAAGAUGUGUUGAUGCAAAACUGGUCUGCAAACACAAAGGGCUAAUACCCGAUUCAAACGUUAAGGCGUGCCAGCCGAUUUGACCUUGCUAUCGGCAAAGGUGAUAACUCGAAUACUUUAGUCCGGACAACAGCGAUGCGCCCGGAUGUCACGGCUAAGAGGUACUCACGCGGAACUUAAGAACACGCCAAGCUUAAGUCGACGAAUUCCUAAGAACUCGUAACAAAAGGAAAAAGUAUGACGAAGUCGUCGAAAAGUAAAUGCUGGAAUAUGAGUAAAAACGUGUGUUUGAUUUCUUGAUUGAUUAUCUAUUACAAGGCCCUAGGGUCUAUAUUUAUACCCUGCUCAAAGAGCUAUAACCAGACACGAUUAGAAUUCGAAUUCCAAAUUACACGGAAUCCGUAUACAAAACGAUGUAAAUAAUUAAGGAAAUAACAAAACUAUCCCUCGUGACAAACCGAAACUCCUCCACAUAACGACCGGCAGCUUCCGGACUCCCUCUUUGCAUCAUCGGCAGACCCUUUGCCAUAGUCAUCGGCAGACUUUCUUAUCUAGCCAUCGACACCAUAUUACUGCCUGUGGACUUAAUCACGUUCAACCUCUCCCUCAUCGGCAAGCAUCCUCAUCGGCAACCCACUUUGUAAACAUCGUACUGCCACCUUAUCCUGCCAUCCCAGACACGUGCCCAAAAACGGUGUCAACAGUAUAUACAUAGACACUUAAACUAAAAGUAAAUAUUAAUUAUUUAUUAUUUUUAUACAUAUAUAAAUAUAUAAUUGCAUUGUAAAUAAUUGCAUUAUAAAUAAUUGCAUUAUAAAAAAGAAAUAAAUAUAUAAUUGCAUUGUAAAUUAUACAUUAUAAAAUAAUUAAUAAUUUAUUUAGGACAAUUAUUUACGACAAUUAAUAAUUAUUUAGGACAAUUAAUAAUUAUAAGAAAAAUAAAACAUCAUAUACAUUUAUUUUGGACAAUUAAUAAUUAAUAAUUAUUUAGGAAAAUUAAUAAAUAUUUGGGACAAUUAAUAAUACAUCAUAUACAUUUAUUUAGGAUAAUUAAUUAUUAUUUAGAACAAUUAUACAUCAUAAACAUCGUAUAAGAAAAAUAAAAAAAGAAAAAUAAAAAAACUGGCGGCUAGUGGGCCGGCCGAGCUGGGCAGGAGGCCCACCGGCCCCUGCCCCUCCCCCUCUCUCUCUCACUCUCGCCCUCUCCACCGGCCGCAACGCCGCCGCCGCCUCCUCCUCGGGUGACCACCCCGACGCUGCCCCGGCCGCCUCGACUUCGCCCGCCUCCGUACGCCGCCACGACUCCCCGCUACACUCACCGCGUCGCCGCCAGCGAGCCGCGGCCACCGCCGCGCUCUCUGCUUCCGCCCCCGAGCUCCCGCAUCGGCCGCCGCGCGCAGCCGCACCCGCCGCAGCCGCACGCGCACCCACUCCCACGUCGCAGCCGGGAGCUUGCCUCGAAGAGAAGAUGCCGGCGAGAAGGAGAAGGUCAGCCUCUCGCCGGCGAUGGGAAAUUUGGGCAGCCUGGCGGCGUGUUUGAAUAGAGACUGGCGCCUUUGGAGACUUAGAAAAUUUCAGAUCUGUGCGCGGAGUAUAUAUGGCCUCGAUUUCUACAGGUGGUUGG